rnacentral:rRNA from 1 species
CUACGGGGGGCUCCAGUGGGGAAUAUUGCACAAUGGGCGCAAGCCUGAUGCAGCCAUGCCGCGUGUAUGAAGAAGGCCUUCGGGUUGUAAAGUACUUUCAGCGGGGAGGAAGGGAGUAAAGUUAAUACCUUUGCUCAUUGACGUUACCCGCAGAAGAAGCACCGGCUAACUCCGCGCCAGCAGCCGCGGUAAUACGGAGGGUGCAAGCGUUAAUCGGAAUUACUGGGCGUAAAGCGCACGCAGGCGGUUUGUUAAGUCAGAUGUGAAAUCCCCGGGCUCAACCUGGGAACUGCAUCUGUACUGGCAAGCUUGAGUCUCGUAGAGGGGGGUAGAAUUCCAGGUGUAGCGGUGAAAUGCGUAGAGAUCUGGAGGAAUACCGGUGGCGAAGGCGGCCCCCUGGACGAAGACUGACGCUCAGGUGCGAAAGCGUGGGGAGCAAACAGGAUUAGAUACCCCAGUAGUC